rnacentral:rRNA from 1 species
GAUGAACGCUGGCGGCGUGCCUAAUACAUGCAAGUCGAGCGAACGGACGAGAAGCUUGCUUCUCUGAUGUUAGCGGCGGACGGGUGAGUAACACGUGGAUAACCUACCUAUAAGACUGGGAUAACUUCGGGAAACCGGAGCUAAUACCGGAUGAUAUUUUGAACCGCAUGGUUCAAUAGUGAAAGACGGUUUUGCUGUCACUUAUAGAUGGAUCCGCGCUGCAUUAGCUAGUUGGUAAGGUAACGGCUUACCAAGGCAACGAUGCAUAGCCGACCUGAGAGGGUGAUCGGCCACACUGGAACUGAGACACGGUCCAGACUCCUACGGGAGGCAGCAGUAGGGAAUCUUCCGCAAUGGGCGAAAGCCUGACGGAGCAACGCCGCGUGAGUGAUGAAGGUCUUCGGAUCGUAAAACUCUGUUAUUAGGGAAGAACAUAUGUGUAAGUAACUGUGCACAUCUUGACGGUACCUAAUCAGAAAGCCACGGCUAACUACGUG